rnacentral:rRNA from 1 species
UGGAAUCGCUAGUAAUCGCGGAUCAGCAUGCCGCGGUGAAUACGUUCCCGGGUCUUGUACACACCGCCCGUCCACACCAUGGGAGCCGGAAAUGCCCGAAGCCUGUGACCCAACCCGCAAGGGGGGGAGCAGUCGAAGGCGGGGCCGGUGACUGGGGUGAAGUCGUAACAAGGUACC